AUUGAACGCUGGCGGCAUGCUUUACACAUGCAAGUCGAACGGCAGCGCGGGCUUCGGCCUGGCGGCGAGUGGCGAACGGGUGAGUAAUACAUCGGAACGUGCCCAGUAGUGGGGGAUAGCUCGGCGAAAGCCGGAUUAAUACCGCAUACGACCUGAGGGUGAAAGCGGGGAUCUUCGGACCUCGCGCUAUUGGAGCGGCCGAUGGCAGAUUAGCUAGUUGGUGGGGUAAAGGCCUACCAAGGCGACGAUCUGUAGCUGGUCUGAGAGGACGACCAGCCACACUGGGACUGAGACACGGCCCAGACUCCUACGGGAGGCAGCAGUGGGGAAUUUUGGACAAUGGGCGAAAGCCUGAUCCAGCAAUGCCGCGUGUGUGAUGAAGGCCUUCGGGUUGUAAAGCACUUUUGGCGGGAACGAAAAAGACUGUGCCAAUACCACGGUUCGAUGACGGUACCCGCAGAAUAAGCACCGGCUAACUACGUG
rnacentral:rRNA from 1 species